rnacentral:lncRNA from 1 species
GGGGUGUGUGAAUUCCCAGGCACUUGCAUCUCUGCAGGAGUGCAAGGGCGGGCCCCUGAAGUAGGUUUAAGUGAUCGCUCUUGGAGGUGAAGCAUAACGAAGCUGGGGGAGCAACAAGAAAUACCUUCAUCUUUUUAGAGAAGAGUGAAAUUGAAGCCAGAGAGGUUGGUUAACUUGCCCAAGAUCACAAAGCUUCCAAGAUGAAGAGCUGGGAUUUCAUUUCAGGUUUCCCAUCUGGCAACAUCCAAGCCCUUUCCAUAAUUCCACACUGUGAAUUUGCUUCCCAAACCAAGAGUGGGAUACAAUUAGCUGGGGAGUGCAACUCAUCCCUCAAUCACUGAUCUGAGUAUGGAUAUCAAAAGAAACAUUUCCUGAAGCAAGACGCUGAGCUGGAAGCUUCCACGGUUGUGCCUAUACUGUGGCAGUCCUGCGCGAACCUGUCCGGCCCCAUGGAAACCUGCAGGGCUGAGGUCUCCCAGGGCAAAUGGGGCUGCAGGAUGCUCACUACACCCCCAGAAACAGGAGAAGGGACAAGGACACAGGACUGUCUGUGAGCAACACUGACUUUCGGCACAGGAGAGAUCCUUUGCCCCUCCUCACUCCAGAAUAUUGCUAAGAACAUAAUUGAUCUCUCUCCUUCUCAUUCACUCACAUCUCCCAAAACAAAGGAAGAGAGACCCAUUCAACUGAUCAGAGCCUGACUUUCCAUUGCUGAGCCAUGUUUUACUACUGAGUGGGGCAACUGCUUUAAAAAUCCAUUUGUUGCUGCAUUUUCUUGCCAGCUAUUUCUUCAUUUACAGGGUUCUGAGAGGCCUGGCCUCUGCUUCCUCCGCCCAUCCAAUAAGUACCACCUGUCUGUUGAGGGGCUCAGUGGCUUCAAGGUUUCAACCCUGGCUACAUCAUGGAACCAUCUGGGGAGCUUUCCAAGUACUGAUGCCUGAACCUUAGUCACAGAUUAAUGGAAACCUGAGGAAUGGGGACCCAUGACCUGGAGUCUGUAAGGCUUCCCCAUUGAUGUGAUGCUUGGUGAAAUCUGUUUGGGUGAGUACAUUCAGUGGCCACUUGCCAUGACUUUUCCUGUCUCUAUAGCUACAUCUGGGUCCCUGGAUCCCUGCAACUAGAUUUAAGCUGGAGGAAGAAGUUUCCAUUUUGGCCUUGAGCCUAAGCCUAGUUUUUCAAACCUGCUUUUGGCAGAACAGUGCAAUGAGGCAUGAGAGUUUUGCCAAUAUACUAAUAAAGCCGUGCUCUCCCUCCCAUCUGCCGCACGAUCCCUGUGGGCCUGCUCUACUGUCCUGGACCUGGAGGAGAAGGGGAGCAUGUGGGAGCAACUGGGAGCCACGACUCCCUGGCAAACAACAUUGGGGACUUUCAACACCAUUUUAAAAAUAGAGUCACUUAUUUCAGUAUAUCUCGG